rnacentral:rRNA from 1 species
AGAGUUUGAUCCUGGCUCAGGACGAACGCUGGCGGCGUGCUUAACACAUGCAAGUCGAACGGAGAUUUUAGCAAUAGAAUCUUAGUGGCGAACGGGUGAGUAACGCGUAGGCAAUCUGCCUUCUAGAUGGGGACAACAUCCCGAAAGGGGUGCUAAUACCGAAUGUUGUAGUUGGUUCGCAUGGACUAGCUACUAAAGGUGGCCUCUGAAUAUGCUACCGCUAGAAGAUGAGCCUGCGUCUGAUUAGCUAGUUGGAGGGGUAACGGCCCACCAAGGCUUCGAUCAGUAGCCGGUCUGAGAGGAUGAACGGCCACACUGGGACUGAGACACGGCCCAGACUCCUACGGGAGGCAGCAGUGGGGAAUCUUCCGCAAUGGACGAAAGUCUGACGGAGCAACGCCGCGUGAGUGAAGAAGGUUUUCGGAUCGUAAAGCUCUUUCGUUAGGGACGAACGUGCUCUUUGUGAAUAAUGAGGAGUAAUGACGGUACCUAAAUAAGAAGCCACGGCUAACUACGUGCCAGCAGCCGCGGUAAUACGUAGGUGGCAAGCGUUGUCCGGAAUUAUUGGGCGUAAAGCGCGCGCAGGCGGGAUAUCAAGUCUGUCUUAAAAGUGCGAGGCUCAACCUCGUGAGGGGACAGAAACUGGUAUUCUUGAGUGUCGGAGAGGAAAGUGGAAUUCCAAGUGUAGCGGUGAAAUGCGUAGAGAUUUGGAAGAACACCAGUGGCGAAGGCGACUUUCUGGACGAUGU